rnacentral:rRNA from 1 species
GACGAACGCUGGCGGCGCGCCUAACACAUGCAAGUCGAACGGAGCUAUUUCGACAGAUCCCUUCGGGGUGACAUUGGCUUAGCUUAGUGGCGGACGGGUGAGUAACACGUGAGGAACCUGCCUUUCAGUGGGGGACAACAGUUGGAAACGACUGCUAAUACCGCAUGACAUAUCUGGACCGCAUGAUCCGGAUAUCAAAGCUUUAUGUGCUGAAAGAUGGACUCGCGUCCGAUUAGUUAGUUGGUGAGGUAACGGCCCGCCAAGACCGCGAUCGGUAGCCGGACUGAGAGGUUGAACGGCCACAUUGGGACUGAGACACGGUCCAA